GACGAACGCUGGCGGCGUGCUUAACACAUGCAAGUCGAACGGAAAGGCCCUGCUUUUGUGGGGUGCUCGAGUGGCGAACGGGUGCGUAACACGUGAGUAACCUGCCCUUGACUUUGGGAUAACUUCAGGAAACUGGGGCUAAUACCGGAUAGGAGCUCCUGCUGCAUGGUGGGGGUUGGAAAGUCUCGGCGGUUGGGGAUGGACUCGCGGCUUAUCAGCUUGUUGGUGGGGUAGUGGCUUACCAAGGCUUUGACGGGUAGCCGGCCUGAGAGGGUGACCGGCCACAUUGGGACUGAGAUACGGAGCAGACGCCUACGGGAGGCAGCAGUGGGGAAUAUUGCACAAUGGGAGGGGGCCUGAUGCAGCAACGCCGCGGGCGGGAUGACGGCCUUCGGGGUGUAAACCGCUUUCGCCUGUGACGAAGCGUGAGUGACGGUAAUGGGUAAAGAAGCACCGGCUAACUACGUG
rnacentral:rRNA from 1 species